GUUUCCUUGUCACGAGGUAGGCAUCUGACUUUCUGGUUUCUAGGACAAGGUCAUAGAAGCACAUGUUCGGCUGUUAUGUCUGCCGAAAGGGAAGCUGGUUCCUUCAGCCGAGGAAUCCAGAGUCAUGGACUGAAGAGCUACCGGGUUCUCAGCCUCCCAGGUUGUUGGAACCCUGAGAAAGGGGCCAGCUACAGAACCCAACCGAGUACCAGCUGUUCUGAUUCAUCUGCCAAGACAUCAAGCAUUGCUGCACCAAAGCAGGAGGUGGCUCUACUCCAUCUGCAUUCCUAGACUGGCCUGGACAUUGCCACCCGCGUGUCCACUGCUGGUCUUGUGGUAGCAGCAGGACCAUUGCUGAGCUGGGGGCAGCUAGUGAGGAGUGGGGCCACACAUGGAGAGGUGAGUCCAGGACCCCUGAACUAGAGGGUGCUCUCAGAACGUGGGUUGGAAAAGUGCUUUGCAAAGAUCUGGCAUGCCUGCAUCAGCCCUCCAGUUUGAGAUUAAACCCUAUAUUACCUUUUGAGGUUCCCCUACUCCCAGAGCUCCAAAUGGUUGCCUUUCACACAGUAUAUGAUUACACAACUUUAUUUUAUUUUAUUUUAUUUUUUUAAAAAAGUAGUUUCAAUGUAUGAAUGUAAAAUGAACGUACUGUUCCCCAAAACUCAAAUGUGGUUUGUCUGUGG
rnacentral:lncRNA from 1 species